UACGUAGGGUGCAAGCGUUGUCCGGAAUUAUUGGGCGUAAAGAGCUUGUAGGCGGUUUGUCGCGUCUGCUGUGAAAUUUCGGGGCUCAACCCCGAAACUGCAUUCGAUACUGCCGUGCUUGAGGACUGGAGAGGAGACUGGAAUUUACGGUGUAGCGGUGAAAUGCGUAGAUAUCGUAAGGAAGACCAGUGGCGAAGGCGGGUCUCUGGACAGUUCCUGACGCUGAGGCACGAAGGUCAGGGGAGCAAACGGG
rnacentral:rRNA from 1 species